rnacentral:rRNA from 1 species
GACGAACGCUGGCGGCGUGCUUAACACAUGCAAGUCGAACGGAAAGGCCCUGCUUUUGUGGGGUGCUAGAGUGGCGAACGGGUGAGUAACACGUGAGUAACCUGCCCUUGACUUUGGGAUAACUUCAGGAAACUGGGGCUAAUACCGGAUAGGAGCUCCUGCUGCAUGGUGGGGGUUGGAAAGUUUCGGCGGUUGGGGAUGGACUCGCGGCUUAUCAGCUUGUUGGUGGGGUAGUGGCUUACCAAGGCUUUGACGGGUAGCCGGCCUGAGAGGGUGACCUGCCACAUUGGGACUGAGAUACGGCCCAGACUCCUACGGGAGGCAGCAGUGGGGAAUAUUGCACAAUGGGCGGAAGCCUGAUGCAGCAACGCCGCGUGCGGGAUGACGGCCUUCGGGUUGUAAACCGCGUUCGCCUGUGACGAAGCGUGAGUGACGGUAAUGGGUAAAGAAGCACCGGCUAACUACGUG